rnacentral:rRNA from 1 species
CCUACGGGAGGCAGCAGUGGGGAAUAUUGCACAAUGGGGGAAACCCUGAUGCAGCGACGCCGCGUGAGUGAAGAAGUAUUUCGGUAUGUAAAGCUCUAUCAGCAGGGAAGAAAAUGACGGUACUUGAUGAAGAAGCCCCGGCCAAAUACGUGCCAGCAGCCGCCGGAAUACGUAGGGGGCAAGCGUUAUCCGGAUUUACUGGGUGUAAAGGGAGCGUAGACGGCAGCACAAGUCUGGAGUGAAAUGCCGGGGCUUAACCCCGGAACUGCGUUGGAAACUGGGCAGCUAGAGUGCAGGAGAGGUAAGUAGAAUUCCUCGUGUAGCGGUGAAAUGCGUAGAGAUUAGGAGGAACACCAGUGGCGAAGGCGGCUUCCUGGACUGUAACUGACGUUGAGGCGCGAAAGCGUGGGGAGCAAACAGGAUUAGAUACCCGGGUAGUC